GUGAAUCAUCGAAUUUUUGAACACAAAUUGCACUCUCCUCGGAGAGUAUGCCUGUUUGAGGGACAGCCUAUAAAAAAUCGACAUCGUUGCUGUUUCGCGGUGGCGUUCGUCGGAAAUUGGGCCAUCUUAAAUCCUUUUGAUUUAAGCGACUCAAAAUUUUCUUCUGGUUCCAUGAACGUCUCUACGUCCUAUUUCUUUACACGUCUAUGACAUCUAUUUUUACUAGACGUGACCA
rnacentral:misc_RNA from 1 species